rnacentral:rRNA from 1 species
UGGGGAAUAUUGCACAAUGGGCGCAAGCCUGAUGCAGCCAUGCCGCUUGUGUGAAUAAGGCCUUCGGGUUGUAAAGCACUUUCAGCGGGGACGAAGGCGAUAAGGUUAAUAACCUUGUCGAUUGACGUUACCCGCAGAAGAAGCACCGGCUAACUCCGUGCCAGCAGCCGCGUUAAUACGGAGGGUGCAAGCGUUAAUCGGAAUUACUGGGCGUAAAGCGCACGCAGGCGGUCUGUCAAGUCGGAUGUGAAAUCCCCGGACUCAAGCUGGGAACUGCAUUCGAAACUGGCAGGCUAGAGUCUUGUAGAGGGGGGUAGAAUUCCAGGUGUAGCGGUGAAAUGCGUAGAGAUCUGGAGGAAUACCGGUGGCGAAGGCGGCCCCCUGGACGAAGACUGACGCUCAGGUGCGAAAGCGUGGGGAGCAAACAGG